rnacentral:misc_RNA from 1 species
GAUGAAGAACGCAGCGAAAUGCGAUACUUGGUGUGAAUUGCAGAAUCUCGUGAACCAUCGAGUCUUUGAACGCAAGUUGCGCCCGAAGCCAUUAGGCCGAGGGCACGCCUGCCUGGGCGUCACACGUCGUUGCCCCCCCAUCUACUCCUUCGGGAUUGCGGGGGGCGGAUGAUGGCCUCCCGUGCGCCUCGCCGCGCGGUUGGCAUAAAUGCCAAGUCCUCGGCGACGCACGCCACGACAAUCGGUGGUUGCGAAACCUCGGUUGCCCGUCGUGUGCGGUCGUCGCGCAUCGAGGGCUCGAAAAAAUUGCCGGGUUCCGGCUCGGCUUUCAACGCGACCCCAGGUCAGGCGGGGUUACCCGCUGAAUUUAAGCAUAUCAAUAAGCGGAGGA